UUAGAACAGAUGCUAGAUAUCUUUUCUGGGAGGAGUGCUCCUUUGGACAAUAUCAUGGCUAGGUCCAUGUUGCCACUCAUUUAUUUUGGUGAUGCAUGUGCAUAUGUUUGCCUUCUACUUGGAGUUCCCAGAAGCUGAGUAUGUUGUUUGAGAUACAGUGCAUUUUUAACAUGCAGACAAUCUCGACCAGGUAGCACUGAUAUAAGCAGGUUUAACACAGAAUUUUGCAAGAUGGAUGUUAGCAUAUGUAAAUAUUGGUUGAUGUGGUUUAAGCC